rnacentral:rRNA from 1 species
AACUGGUAAUUGGGGCUAAGUCGUAACAAGGUAGCCGUACCGGAAGGUGCGGCUGGAACACCUCCUUUCUGGAGC